rnacentral:lncRNA from 1 species
GGGUUAGACUGGUAAUUUUUGAGGCUCUUUAUUGCUUGCUGUUUGGUGUGAGCCUAGGCUCUGUUGAAGGCUGUACUUUGACCUAUAAUGGUUUACUUUUAGUAAUUGUGACUUGGAUGGAGAGUUGUCUCAUUGGCAUUCAAACCACAUAUUUUUAUAUCGGUAUACAUAUAAAGGUAGUCAUAUUUGAGAGGAAGUGUAUAGACCUCUCUACCAAAAACUUUGUUUAGCAUGCAUACAUAUCAUAUUUGCGUUUUUUAUCCAAUGCAAUCAUGGGUUUGAACGUGGUUUUUAAUUUAGACUUGUUUAUAUUAAGAUCCAUUUUGUACAUCUAGUGAUACGUUUAUUUUGCAAUCAAUGCAAUCAGCAGGGUUUAAGAUCAUUCGUUGGUGGAUCUGCUAGUAUGCUAGUCAAAUGCAGUUAAGAUAUACUUUUUCUUUUUUGAAAAUGUUGUGUGUGCUGUAUGUAGAACCCUUUUUCAAGAAAUUUAUUUAUGCACACAUAUAAAAUCGCAAUCAGACGUUUGAAGGUUAUUUUCAUUUUAGGCUUGUAUAUAUAAUAUGAAUGAUACUAACACAAAAUAUGAUGAUAAUGCUGAUGGGACAGGGUUUGUGUUUUAAGGCCAGUAGCAAAUACCUGCAUAUCAGAAUAAGAAUAUGUCAAUGUGAUUGAUUGGUUGGUUAACAUUUGCAGUUGUAAAUGUUUCAUGCCUGUUUAGAAGAAUAAAUCAACAAUAUAUGUUAUUGGGAAGUUCUUAAUAAAAGCUGUCUGGGAUGAAUGUCAGGGAAAGCAGAAGUAGGUUCAGUAAGACUCUUUUUUGGCCCCAAAAUAUAGCAGUUUUACAAAAUUGUUAAAAUGUAAACUUUCAGUUAUUUAUUGGACAGUAGAAUGCUUCUGCUACAUAAAUAUGGGCUGUUUUUUGACAAUACAACGCAUAAAUAUCGGGUACUAACACCAUCAAGUCAUGCUAAAUUACUAAAAUCUUCACAAUUCUAGCAUUUUAGUCAAAUUUUAGACGGUUUUU